AGGGUUUGAUCAUGGCUCAGGACGAACGCUGGCGGUGCGCCUUAUGCAUGCAAGUCGAGCGAAGCUUUUCAGUAGUUUACUACAGAAAACGACUGAGCGGCGAACGGGUGAGUAACGCGUGAGCAAUCUACCUUAGUUACAGGGAUAGCCCGAGGAAACUCGGAUUAAUACCUGAUAUUCUUUAUUUCUCGCAUGAGAAUAAAAGGAAAGGUCAGCCGAACUAAGAUGAGCUCGCGUUCUAUCAGCUAGUUGGUGAGGUAAAAGCUUACCAAGGCUACGACGGAUAGCUGGUCUGAGAGGACGAUCAGCCACACUGGGACUGAGACACGGCCCAGACUCCUACGGGAGGCUGCAGCAGGGAAUAUUGUGCAAUGAACGAAAGUUUGACACAGCGACACCGCGUGUGGGAUGACGGAUCUAGGUUUGUAAACCACUUUCAGGAGGGAAGAAAAUGACGGUACCUCCACAAGAAGCCCCGGCCAACUACGUGCCAGCAGCCGCGGUAAUAC
rnacentral:rRNA from 1 species